rnacentral:rRNA from 1 species
GACGAACGCUGGCGGCGUGCUUAACACAUGCAAGUCGAACGGAAAGGCCCUGCUUUUGUGGGGUGCUCGAGUGGCGAACGGGUGAGUAACACGUGAGUAACCUGCCCUUGACUUUGGGAUAACUUCAGGAAACUGGGGCUAAUACCGGAUAGGAGCUCCUGCUGCAUGGUGGGGGUUGGAAAGUUUCGGCGGUUGGGGAUGGACUCGCGGCUUAUCAGCUUGUUGGUGGGGUAGUGGCUUACCAAGGCUUUGACGGGUAGCCGGCCUGAGAGGGUGACCGGCCACAUUGGGACUGAGAUACGGCCCAGACUCCUACGGGAGGCAGCAGUGAGGAAUAUUGCACAAUGGGCGGAAGCCUGAUGCAGCAACGCCGCGUGCGGGAUGACGGCCUUCGGGUUGUAAACCGCUUUCGCCUGUGACGAAGCGUGGGUGACGGUAAUGGGUAAAGAAGCACCGGCUAACUACGUG